AUGGCGGAUAAGGUGGAGGCUGUUGGUGAAGGUGGUGGAGAAAACCUGUGGUCGCAUUUAUGUUCUUGAAAACAUUGCACUCAGGCCCUCCACAACGUUACGAUGCCAGAUUACUGACACAGGCAUGCCACCUCAUGGCGAUGCCCCAAUAUUUUGCUAUGCCACCGGUCUCACAGCGUUACGAUGCCUGUAAAUAAAUCAUAGGACCCACGAUGUCCAGAAAGAGCUGAGUCCUUCGCUCGAGUUCUUUCCGGCUGCCUCGUGUGAUAGAAAAUCCCCUUUUCCAAAUGAGGCCAGAUCUAUGAAAUCCCUCUUCUUUCUCCCAUGAAUCCUUCCGAUUUCUUCUCGAUUUAGCAUCGAUUGGUGCCCACGAGAUCCACAACGAAGUCCAGUCCGGCGAGGUGCGGCAGUACGGGAAGACGGAGGAUAGGCUGAGCAUGGGCAGCGGCACCAGGGAGCGCGGUGCUGGACGCGGACGCGCUGCUCGGCGGGUGCGGCAGCCUUGCCGCCGUGGUUGACAGCAGCGUCGACUACUGCUCCUAUUUCCCAGGCGGAAGUUUAUUUGGUCGGAAGUUUGGGCAUCGGAGCAACUACUUGUUCCGGUUCCUUUUUUUCUGAUUUGGCACUGACUGGGCAGUUGAGGGCACCGGUGCCAAAUGCCCAAAAGUUAAUUUGGCACCCGUAUUUGGCCUCCAUUGUGUAGGGCCUUAGUGACCUUGCUUCUUAGUUUGUAGUUUAUAAUGGAAUGCUGGAUAGGUGCUUGUUCCUUGAACUUAGUGUCUUUGCCACACUUUCUGUAAGAGCAGGCCAUUUAUAUUUAUAUUUGUGUUGUAUCAGGAAUUUAUAAGGCGCUCAGAUGUUGUAGGACAUUAUUUUUUGCCUUGCUCAUAUGAUUGCGGGCACUCUUCAUGCCACACCUUCCGUACGAAAUGUCAGAUUUCAUCAUCAAGUAAUGUACUAUGUUGUUUCAUAAAGACUAAAAAGAGAGUCCAAGUUCUUAUGACUGCAUGCACUCUUUAUACUACUUACUCUUUUUUUUAAGAGCUUAAGUGUUGUCAUAUUUCAACAGUUUGUUGUUCAGGAUGAUUCUAUUAGAAAUGCC
rnacentral:lncRNA from 1 species